rnacentral:rRNA from 1 species
GGGGGAAUAUUGCACAAUGGGCGCAAGCCUGAUGCAGCCAUGCCGCGUGUAUGAAGAAGGCCUUCGGGUUGUAAAGUACUUUCAGCGGGGAGGAAGGGAGUAAAGUUAAUACCUUUGCUCAUUGACGUUACCCGCAGAAGAAGCACCGGCUAACUCCGUGCCAGCAGCCGCGGUAAUACGGAGGGUGCAAGCGUUAAUCGGAAUUACUGGGCGUAAAGCGCACGCAGGCGGUUUGUUAAGUCAGAUGUGAAAUCCCCGGGCUCAACCUGGGAACUGCAUCUGAUACUGGCAAGCUUGAGUCUCGUAGAGGGGGGUAGAAUUCCAGGUGUAGCGGUGAAAUGCGUAGAGAUCUGGAGGAAUACCGGUGGCGAAGGCGGCCCCCUGGGCGAAGACUGACGCUCAGGUGCGAAAGCGUGGGGAGCAAACAGG